rnacentral:lncRNA from 1 species
UGGUGAUCGAAGGCUAUUCAAAAAUCAAAUUUAAGUGGGAGCUAGAAAUGGAAAAGAAAGGAUUGCUUUAUCAAAUACAUGACCUCACCAAAUACACAAUUUAGAUUAGAAAUAUAACGUAUCAUUGUGUGAAGAUAUUUUGAACACCUUUAUCCUCAAUAUAUGGUGCCUUUGAAUUUUCCCAAGUGGUGGAUCCAGAAAUUUUCAUAAGUGGGAGCCCACUGACUGACCUAAGAGGGGGCCCGCUCCAGUCACGCUUCAGUUAUUCCCUAUAUAAGCAACCAAUAUUUUUCCAAAAAAGGGUGGCCCGGGCACCCUGACCGCCCCCCCCCCCAUAAUCCGCCUCUGCUCCCUCUUUUAAUGUCUAGAAAAGACCUAAAUUGAUUGAUUUUCUGAAGCCACAUACCCGACUACUUCCUUAAAACAAGGUUGAAAGAGCUUAUAUUAUUCCUUGUAAUAUUGAUUUAUGAGGGUCUGGGUUGGAGUCAUACAUUUCUGCAUUGAUUUUAGCCAUUUUUAUACGACCGCAAAAAUUUUAAUUUUUUGGUCGUAUAUUGCUAUCACGUUGGCGUCGUCGUCGUCUGAAUACUUUUAGUUUUCGCACUCUAACUUUAGUAAAAGUGAAUAGAAAUCAAUGAAAUUUUAACACAAGGUUUAUGACCACAAAAGGAAGGUUGGGAUUGAUUUUGGGAGUUUUGGUCCCAACAUUUUAGGAAUUAGGGGCCAAAAAGGGCCCAAAUAAGCAUUUUCUUGGUUUUCGCACUAUAACUUUAGUUUAAGUGAAUAGAAAUCUAUGAAAUUUUGACACAAGGUUUAUGACCACAAAAGGAAGGUUGGGAUUGAUUUUGGGAGUUUUGGUUCCAACAGUUUAGGAAUUAAGGGCCAAAAAAGGGCCCAAAUAAGCAUUAUUCUUGGUUUUCGCACAAUAACUUUAGUAUAAGUAAAUAGAAAUCAAUGAAAUUUAACACAAGGUUUAUGACCACAAAAGGAAGGUUCGGAUUGAUUUUUGGAGUUGAGGUCACAACAGUUUAUGAAUUAGGGGCCAAAAAGGGGCCCAAAUAAGCAUUAUUUUUGGUUUUUGCACCAUAACUUUAGUAUAAGUAAAUAGAAAUCUAUGAAAUUUAAACACAAGGUUUAUGACCAUAAAAGGAAGG